rnacentral:rRNA from 1 species
UGGACAGGUGGUGGCAUGGUUGUCGUCAGCUCGUGUCGUGAGAUGUUGGUUAAGUCCCGCAACGAGCGCAACCCUCGCCUCUAGUUGCCAGCAUUCGGUUGGGCACUCUAGAGGGACUGCCGGCGACAAGUCGGAGGAAGGUGGGGAUGACGUCAAAUCAUCAUGCCCCUUAUGACCUGGGCUACACACGUGCUACAAUGGGCGGUACGAAGGGCUGCGAACCCGCGAGGGGGAGCGAAUCCCAAAAAGCCGCUCUCAGUUCGGAUUGCAGGCUGCAACUCGCCUGCAUGAAGCCGGAAUCGCUAGUAAUCGCGGAUCAGCAUGCCGCGGUGAAUACGUUCCCGGGCCUU